rnacentral:rRNA from 1 species
GCUUUAACUGACGCUGAGGCACGAAAGCGUGGGUAGCAAACAGGAUUAGAUACCCUGGUAGUCCACACUGUAAACGAUGAUUACUAGGUGUGGGGGGUCUGACCCCUUCCGUGCCGCAGUUAACACAAUAAGUAAUCCACCUGGGGAGUACGACCGCAAGGUUGAAACUCAAAGGAAUUGACGGGGGCCCGCACAAGCAGUGGAGUAUGUGGUUUAAUUCGAAGCAACGCGAAGAACCUUACCAGGUCUUGACAUCCUAAGGAUCUGCCAGAGAUGGCGGAGUGCCCUUCGGGGAAUUUAGAGACAGGUGGUGCAUGGUUGUCGUCAGCUCGUGUCGUGAGAUGUUGGGUUAAGUCCCGCAACGAGCGCAACCCUUACUGUUAGUUGCUACGCAAGAGCACUCUAGCAGGACUGCCGUUGACAAAACGGAGGAAGGUGGGGAUGACGUCAAAUCAUCAUGCCCCUUAUGACCUGGGCUACACACGUACUACAAUGGCCGUCAACAGAGGGCAGCGAAAUAGUGAUAUGGAGCAAAUCCCUAAAAACGGUCUCAGUUCAGACUGCAGGCUGCAACUCGCCUGCACGAAGGUGGAAUUGCUA